CUAACUGCUGUUCAGGGUUAGACUAAGCCAUGCAAGUCGAACGCCCAAGUCAUGUCCUUGGUGCGUGGCGAACUGCUCCGUAACACGUCGUUAAUCUGCCCUACAGGGGGGAUAAUCUCGGGAAACUGAGGCUAAUACCCCAUAGGCGAUUUGUUGUGGAAUUCAUAUUUCGCUCAAAGCGUGCCUGAGACUAUGUGAUGGCAUUGCGCUGUAGGAUGAGACGGCGGUGGAUUAACCUGUUGGUGGGGUAACGGCCCACCAAAGUUAUGAUCCGUACGGGCUCUGAGAGGAGUAGCCCGGAGAUGGGAACUGAGACAACGUCCCAAGCCCUACGGGGUGCAGCAGGCGCGGAAACUACGCAAUGCGCGAAAGCGUGACGUGGUAACCCUGAGUGCCGCGAUAGUCGUGGCUUUUAUUCAGCGUAAAUAGCUGGAUGAAUAAGGAGAGGGCAAGGCUGGUGCCAGCCGCCGCGGUAAAACCAGCUCUUCGAGUGGUUAGGAUUAUUAUUGGGCCUAAAGCGUGCGUAGCCGGGCUACUAAGCCCCUGGUUAAAUCCGACAGCUUAACUGUUUGGGCUGCUAGGGGUACUGGUAGUCUUGGAGGCGGGAGAGGUGAGCGGUACUUCAUGGGUAGGGGUGAAAUCCUAUCAUCCAUGGGGGACCACCGAUGGCGAAGGCAGCUCACUAGAACGCGCUCGACGGUGAGGCACGAAACCCAGGGGAGCGAACCGGAUUAGAUACCCGGGUAGUCCUGGGCGUAAACGAUGCUAGCUAGGUGUUCGUCAAGCUUCGAGCUUGUCUAGUGCCGAAGGGAAGCCGUUAAGCUAGCCGCCUGGGGAGUACGGUCGCAAGACUGAAACUUAA
rnacentral:rRNA from 1 species